UCUCCGUUGGUGAACCGGCGGAGGGAUCAUUAUCGAGUUUAUAACUCCCAAACCCCAUGUGAACUUACCACUUGUUGCUUCGGCGCGCGCUUCGGUGCCGCCGAGGACACUUAAACUCUUUGUUUUUAUAAGCAUUUCUGAGUGGCCGAAAGGCAAAAUACAAAUGAAUCAAAACUUUCAACAACGGAUCUCUUGGUUCUG
rnacentral:misc_RNA from 1 species